GUAUGACGCUGGCGGCAGGCCUAACACAUGCAAGUCGAGCGGAAACGAGAAUAGCUUGCUAUUCGGCGUCGAGCGGCGGACGGGUGAGUAAUGCUUGGGAACAUGCCUUGAGGUGGGGGACAACCAUUGGAAACGAUGGCUAAUACCGCAUAAUGUCUACGGACCAAAGGGGGCUUAGGCUCUCGCCUUUAGAUUGGCCCAAGUGGGAUUAGCUAGUUGGUGAGGUAACGGCUCACCAAGGCGACGAUCCCUAGCUGGUUUGAGAGGAUGAUCAGCCACACUGGAACUGAGACACGGUCCAGACUCCUACGGGAGGCAGCAGUGGGGAAUAUUGCACAAUGGGCGCAAGCCUGAUGCAGCCAUGCCGCGUGUGUGAAGAAGGCCUUCGGGUUGUAAAGCACUUUCAGUCAGGAGGAAAGGUUAGUAGUUAAUACCUGCUAGCUGUGACGUUACUGACAGAAGAAGCACCGGCUAACUCCGUGCCAGCAGCCGCGGUAAUACGGAGGGUGCGAGCGUUAAUCGGAAUUACUGGGCGUAAAGCGUACGCAGGCGGUUUGUUAAGCGAGAUGUGAAAGCCCCGGGCUUAACCUGGGAACUGCAUUUCGAACUGGCAGACUAGAGUGUGAUAGAGGGUGGUAGAAUUUCAGGUGUAGCGGUGAAAUGCGUAGAGAUCUGAAGGAAUACCGAGGCGAAGGCAGCCACCUGGGCAACACUGACGCUCAUGACGAAAGCGUGGGACAACA
rnacentral:rRNA from 1 species